CGCAACGCCCCCGUCGUCCCCAACCCACCGGGAGGACGAGGAUGUCGAACCCAGGCUGCGGCGCUGGUCCGGGCCUCCGGGUCUCCAUGGGGAUCGGACCGUCCUCGGGCGAUCUCAGAUUCCUCUUCCCCAACACCUCCGCCGCCUUAUAGAAAACAGAGGUGAUGAUCUCCGCCGGCCGGCCUCCAGAUCCCCAGCGACUGCGAGGUGGUCGACGCGCGCCCACUCCCGGCGGCCCUCCUUUUCGCCGCCGUCCACGCCUCCCCCACCCAGGAACUCCUCCGCCUCUUUGCCGCCGCGCCCGUGAAGCUGAUCCAGGCCAAGUCCUGGACGCUGGAUGAAGAGGCUCCUGUUCGAGGAGAAGAGGCAGGAGCUGCUCCCUGUCCCUGGUGCCGAUGGAGGGGGGAAGGAGGAGCCACCAUCAGGUGCUGAUGCUCUCCGGUGCCGAUGGAGGGGCGCAUCAACAACAUGAGGUGGUGGUAUUCAAGAGGUAGAUGGAGGACAUGGUUGUACUGGGUGAGGGCGCUUCUCCGAGGAUUGGUGGAUGGAUACUUCUCUGUGCCGUUGGCAGUGCGGGAGGGGAUGGCCAGGAAGCAGGUUACCAAUGGCGUGCUCUUUCAGUCAGAACAGUAUGAUGGGGCCCUCUAGGCGGGAUGGCAUGGACCCAACAUCAAGGAUAUCGAUCAUGAUGGAUUCAACCAGUCUGCUCGACAUUGGAUGCCAUAAUAUGCUUAUGAUGUUGGUUAACGGAGAUUUAACUACUCGAGGGGGUUUGAUGAAGAGCUCGCUGGGCGAAUUCUUCGGUGGGUUCAGCCGGCGCAUGACACGGACACUCGGACAAGGUCGAGCCGGCGGCUAGGCUUAGCCAUAAGGAGCGCUGUGGAGGUCAUGGGCGGCAAGGGAAGUAAGUGGCAACACGAAUGGGGCACCAUGUUGCAAUGAAGGGCGUGGGCUUAUGGGGUUUUGACUCUUUGAGUCAAGCUUACUGGGCUAAGGGCACCCGAUAUUUUCUUGAUUCUGUUCCAGCACCAGUUUACCACGGUAAAGACAAUCCACAACCUUAUGAUUAGAAGACUGGAUGGUUGUUGUAAAUUAUCAUCCUCUUUUUGAAGUGGGUGAGAGGCAUGGUAGUUAUUUUGAAUUGUGCCUCAAAAUAGGUAAACAUCACUUCUCCUUUGUGGACGUGCAUUGUGCUCAUCGAUAAGUUUUGUCCCGAAAUUUUUCUCAUUUGAGUCUUGCCACAUUUGGUAUUGUUCGAUAUGCUAUUUAAUAUAUAGUGUGUGCUCCCACCUCAGUUGAUCAAUUGUUUUUCACUUAGAAGCGGGUGAUUGAUGAAUCAACUAUGCCAGUAAUGUCCUUAAUUCUAGAGAAGAUGCAAAACCAAGAACAUGCAUGAGCUUGCGUACUUGCCGGUAGCCGGGAGAAUUUUCAGUGACCAAUGGAAGCUUUGAUGUAUUCUUUUCAAGCAAAAGAAAUCGGCUAUUACCCAUAUCAGGUUUCGGCUCAAAUUGUGGUGCUUCUAUUCUAUGCAAUUUUAUUUUCUUGCUAAUGCUACGUUUUAGCAUUCCUUAUCUUUUGUACCCGGUGCGUGCGUGUGAACUAUAUUUUCCUAAUGGUAAAUCUACUUCUCCCCAUCGUGUGACUUAAGGCUAAUCUAUUCAUGGUUAAUUUCCUUCAUGUACAAAGGUUUCUUCUUCUCUUUCUUUUACAGUAACAUAGACCAUGCUCACAUGGUCGCAACUUGCAAAAGAGAUGGAAACGUGCAUAUAGAUCUCUCAAGCGUGCACAUAUUCUUCUGUGUCAUAAAAAGGAAGUCUUGAUCGGAUCACAUCACAAGUUCUGAAGAGAAACAGUCCAAUGUCGACUUCGCCGUCGCCUCCGCCAACUUCGCGGGAAGACCAUCCACCGUUGUCUCUGUGGACUUCGCUGCAAGACCAUCCGUCGUUGCCUCCGCCGACUUUGCCGGAAGACCAUCAACUGUCGUCUCCACAUACUUCACCGCAGGAUUUGAAUAACAAUUUGAUUGCCCCUGGUACUAAUCAGCAGUCCUAUGGGAUACGGGCCUCUGUUUGCCUCUGGUACUCCUGAUGCAGCAGUAACACUUCCAGUUUGAUUGCCUGAGGGAAUGGUCUCGCUUCAGGUUAUUACAUGUUUUUUCGCAUUGAAGUGUAGUACAUGGGAUUAAGAUUAGAUUAACCGUGUCCAUAACUGAACUUUAGCAGUAGGGACCGCAGAAUUAUCUGAAAAAUACUGUAUAAAUGGUCAUAGAAUGCCAAACUGUAAAGAAAUGCGAACCGAAAGGAAGGGGCAAAUUGUUUUCUAAUGUGAGAAGUCCGAUUAAACUCUGUAGUGGUUAUCUUAUUUGUGUUGGCUCUAUGCUAACUUGCUUAUAUGUGCAAGUUACUCUGAAGCAGCAAUAUAAGCAGGGUGAUGUAUCAUGAAAAUAGGGUCUACGUAGCAUAAUCUAAUUUGUGUAUCUUCUCUCCUACAUUCAUUUCUUUACUUUGGUCCAUAAGUUUCAGAGAUCUUCUAUUUGAAACAACCAACCUGUACUUCUUUCUAGAAUGUAUAAGCUGUAUAACUGUACUUAAUUUUUAAUAUGUUG